rnacentral:rRNA from 1 species
UAGGGAAUCUUCCACAAUGGGCGCAAGCCUGAUGGAGCAACACCGCGUGAGUGAAGAAGGUCUUCGGAUCGUAAAACUCUGUUGUUAGAGAAGAACACGAGUGAGAGUAACUGUUCAUUCGAUGACGGUAUCUAACCAGCAAGUCACGGCUAACUACGUGCCUG